rnacentral:lncRNA from 1 species
GGGACCCAAAAUCAGUGAGUAAUAGCAUGCAAAACUGGCCAAAAUAGACCAAAACUGUGAGUUUCGACGAGUUCCCCGUAACYKGACCCCGGGGUUCCCGAGACGUUUGGAUCGCAGCGGCAACCAAAAGCAGUGAGUAAUAGCAUACAAAACUGGCCAAAAUAGGCCAAAACUGCGAGUUUUCAUGAGUUCCCCAUAAUCGGACCCCGGGGUUCCCGAAACGUUCGGAUCACAGCGGGACCCAAAAUUAGUGAGUGAUAGCAUACAAAACUGGCCACAAUAGACCAAAAGUACGAGUUUUGGACGAGUCCCGUAACCGGACCCCCGGGGGUUCCCGAAACGUUUGGAUCGGAKCGGCAACCAAAAUCAGUGAGUAAUAGCAUACAAAACUGGUCGGCAUAGGCCAAAACUGCGAGGUUUGACGAGUUCCACGUAACCGGAACCUAGGGUUCCCGAAACAUUCGUAUCGCAGGGGGAUCCAAACUCACUGAGUAAUGCAUACAAAACUGGCGGGAAUAAACCAAAACUGUGAGUUUCGACGAGUUCCCCGUAACCGGACCCCGGGGUUCCCGAAACGUUUGGAUCGCAGCGGCAACCAAAAGCAGUGAGUAAUAGCAUACAAAACUGGCGGGAAUAGGCCAAAACUGCGAGUUUUGAUGAGUUCCACGUAAUCGGACCCCGGGGUUCCCGAAACGUUCGGAUGACAGCGGGACCCAAAAUCAGUGAGUAAUAGCAUACAAACUGGCCAAAAUAGACCAAAACUGUGAGUUUCGACGAGUUCCACGUAACCGGAACCUAGGGUUCCCGAAACAUUCGUAUCGCAGGGGGAUCCAAACACAGUGAGUAAUAGCAUACAAAACUGGCGGGAAUAGGCCAAAACUGCGAGUUUUGAUGAGUUCCCACGUAAUCGGACCCCGGGGUUCCCGAAACGUUCGGAUGACRRGCGGGAACCAAAAUCAGUGAGUAAUAGCAUACAAAACUGGCCAAAAUAGACCAAAACUGUGAGUUUCGACGACUUCCCCGGUUCCCGAAAUGUUUGGAUCGCAGCGACAACCAGAAGUAGUGAGUAAUAGCAUACAAAACUGGCCAAAAUAGGUCAAAACUGCGAGUUUUGAUGAGUUCCACGUAAUCGGACCCCGGGGUUCCCAAAACGUUCGGAUCACAGCGGGACCCAAAAUCAGUGAGUAAUAGCAUACAAAACUGGCCAAAAUAGACCAAWACUGUGAGUUUCGAGGAGUUCCACGUAACCGGAACCUAGGGUUCCCGAAACAUUCAUAUCGCAGGGGGAUCCAAACACAGUGAGUAAUAGCAUACAAAACUGGCCAAAAUAGGCCAAAACUGCGAGUUUUGAUGAGUUCCACGUAAUCGCACCCCGGGGUUCCCGAAAAGUUCGGAUCACAGCGGGACCCAAAAUCAGUGAGURAUAGCAUACAAAAACURGCCAAAAAUAGACCAAAACUGUGAGUUUCGACGAGUUCCCCGUAACCGGACCCCGGGGUUCCCGAAACGUUUGGAUCGGAGCGGCAACCAAAAUCAGUGAGUAAUAGCAUACAAAACUGGCCAAAUAGGCCAAACUGCGAGGUUUGACGAGUUCCACGUAACCGGAACCU